rnacentral:rRNA from 1 species
UACGUAGGGGGCUAGCGUUGUCCGGAAUCAUUGGGCGUAAAGCGCGUGUAGGCGGUCCGGUAAGUCCGCUGUGAAAGUCGGGGGCUCAACCCUCGGAUGCCGGUGGAUACUGUCGGGCUCGAGUCCGGAAGAGGCGAGUGGAAUUCCUGGUGUAGCGGUGAAAUGCGCAGAUAUCAGGAGGAACACCAAUGGCGAAGGCAGCUCGCUGGGACGUGACUGACGCUGAGACGCGAAAGCGUGGGGAGCAAACAGG